UUUAAAUCAACAAAGCUUUUCUAAAGAUAUGGAUUACAUCUCUGGAAGAAUUAAGAUGAUUUAUGUCAUUUCUCAUCACUUUUCUACACCUGGCAGAGAAACCAUUACAGUCUUCUACACAACUAACUUUGUCAGUUUUAUAUUAGUUUCUACACGGUUAAAUGAACACGAGGCUUUUCAAUAAUAGUUAUUAACAAAUGUAUUUGAAACAGAACUGAAACAUGUUAUUGAUCUACAGUGAAUCUCUGUAUGUAUGUUAAUGUCAGACAAACAGACAUAUCAUACCAACCACAGUGGACACAAACUCAAAUCCUCAUCUCCACUCCUGAUAUAAAUAUGUUCUUCCAUUCAGAUGAUAGACGGUGUAAAUCCAGACAGUGUUCCUCCUGGUUUCGUGUCCCACGUUGCCUUCAGUGUGCUGAGAGCAGAGACAUCAUUUCCAUAGAGAGGAGGCUUUGCAUGGUCAGCUGAUCCUCCAGUGAACUGAGAAGGUUUAUAGUCCUGUGAGUUCAACACUGCAGGACUCACAUGUGUCAGUCAGCAGAAAGCACCAUGACUCUCAUCACCAUCCUCAUCUGGACGCUGGCCUGCUGCUGUUUCACAGGAUGCAGCGGUCAGACUGUGACUGUGACUCAGCCUGCAGUCGAGACGUCUGCUCCAGGAUCCACCGUCACUCUCACCUGUAAAACCAGUAGCAAUGUUUACAGAUGGGGUAGUAAUGAUAAUUUGUCCUGGUAUCAACAGAAAUCUGGACAGCCUCCAAAGCUCCUGAUAAGAUAUGUGAGCACACUUGAAUCAGGAACAGAACCUCGGUUUAGUGGCAGUGGAAGCGGCUCUGACUUCUCUAUGACCAUCACUGGACUGAAGGCUGAAGAUGCAGCAGUUUAUUACUGUCAGAGUCACCACUACAUAAACAGUGUUAAUCUGUUCACACAGUGAUUUGUCGUCGUACAAAAACCUCCCUCAGUCAGACUGCAGAGACUCUGAGCUGUUACAGCAGGAACCACCUGCAGCUGCUGAAGAGGAAGAGACUGACACAGCCCACUGAACUCAGAGCUGACAGGAACCCACCCAGCACUAUUCACUUCUUAUUCUUAA